rnacentral:lncRNA from 1 species
UGGAAAGCUUGCUGUACUCCAAACCAAAACAGCAGGGUCCUGGCUCCACAAAUCCGUUCCACCAGACAACAUUCGUCGCUUGUUAUCCAGAUAUUAUUUUAAAGCAUGUCCCUUUGUGGUCAUUGAAUUGUCUAAGAUAAGAGCUGUAAAACCAACUUUUUUACAAUUGACAUGGAUUGAUAUUUUGGACAUGUGUGAGUUGGAGCCAUCCAUAGAUACGAACGAAUCAUUCAUCAGAAAAAGACCACACAGGUGGAGAUGGUGAGAAGGGGUGUCCUUGAUCUGAGCCCCCCAGUACAUAGUUGUAUAUUCUGGUUGUAAGUGCUCUGGUUGUGCUAUGUGGGAUGCUGCUUCAACAUGACCUGAUGAGCGGUGCCAUGUCCGGGCCCAGGAUCGGAACCAGCGAAACCCCAGGGCUGCCAAAGCAGAGCGAGUGAACUGAACCACUUGGCCAUAGGGCUGGCCCUGGAGACAAUUUUUGAUGGACUACUUUUUAUCUUUGCCUAACAGCAUGCUAAGAAAUCGUCAGUAUGUUUCUACCCCUGCUUCCUGCUGCUACUAGCUGGAGAAUGAGAGAAUGGCAGGCAAAGACACAGGAGACUGGAACAUUAGGAAAAUAUUUCAUAUGGGCCCACAUAUUUCAAGCCCAUCAUUAUUCAAUUGAGGAGUUUGAUGUUCCUGAGGAGAGGGAAAUUAUUGCCUCCGAAGAGCUUUGCUGGCAGAAAGGAAAAUAUCACUGCGAUGGUGGUGUACUAAUUAUUUUCAAGUCUGUGCGGGACUCUAAAGCAGGAAGACGGAGAGAACGUUUAUUACAUCUCUCAAGCCCUUCAUUUGGGAAGGGGGGGCUGGUGAUGGGGAGGUAACAAGCUUACCAGGACUGAAGAGAAAUUGUUAUUCUUCAAAGCGCCUUCUCACGAAGGUUUCAAAAUUGUAGAGAAUCUCUUAGAUUCUGAGCUCUUUCCAAAUUUAUUCCUAAGUCAUGAAUACUAUCAUGCCGAGAAAAGGAAAGACGGUUAACUCUAGAAGAAAGAAUUCCAAGGAGGGUAUGAUGUAGGGACAGUUCCCACCAGAGGGGAAAGGCAAGUGCGAGAAGAGGAAAGGGACUUGGCAGAAUAAAUACUGAAGUAAAGAUAAAGCCUGAGACUCUCAGCAUCCCAAUGCUCCCUCCUGUGGGCUCCAGAUGCACUGAGAGGGAAACCAAGGACAAGAUGGGUGGUGGCUGAGAGUGAAUGGUGAAGAGUGAGGUGACUGCUGAGUCCCUGACAAUCGGUGCAAUAAGAAAGAGCUGAAUUGGUACCAAGACAGCAAUGUGGGAACACCAAGUCUUUACUGUGAUAAGAAGACGGCCCUUGAGUUAGAGCAUCUAUGAACACUUCAGAAAUGGAUGCAAGGAGGGCAAAGCCCAGUGCCUAGAGAACAGGCAACAUGAGCUCCAUUUCACCUAUGGAUCAACGGAAGCCGUGAAGAAAGAGAACAUGGAGACAGGAGACUCCCUGAGGCUAUGUGAGCUCCGCUUUGUGUCCAGAUGCCAUCUUUGGAAGAAGAUGAGAGAGGGAAAGCUCUUUCAGAAAGAAAUGCAAACCUCGUUUUACCCCCAAAGGAGACUGUUUACAAUAGGAGAGACUUUAUUAGUUGUAAUUAGAAAGUUUGAAAUAGUUUCUGCCAUCAGUGGAAAUGAGUGGCAAAAAGUUUCUAUUUGUUAUAGAAAUAGAGAAGCGAAAUUCCAUGCACACUUCAGGUUGUAUUGCACUAAAUUUUGAUCCUAUGCUUCAUGCAUUAUUUCAUUUAACCAUUCCAUAAACUCUAUUAUUAUUCCCAUUUUAGAGCAGACCAUACUGAGAUUAAAGGAAUCUAGAUAACUUAGGCAACAUCACAAAGCUAGUAAGUCAUAGAUGUGAAAUUCUGUUUGACCCGAAAGCUGCCUAUUUUAAUCAUCUAGUUUACAAUAGAGGAUAUAUAUUAUUUCUGUGACAAUUUAAGUGACACCAAUAGACUUCAAAUAGAGUCAGCAUAUGAAUUUGUCAUUGGAUAUUCACAGAAUAUGUUAAUUUUUAAAGUUUAAAGGAGAAUGUUGAACCAACAGUUGGUUUUCUUUUUAUCUCUGUCCUCAUCAGGACUCAGUUAUUGAUCCUGCCUACAGACAAAAAGUCAGGCUCCCAUGAAAGUGUUUUCUUCAGAAUCCUUCUAACCCCUCAGAAUGGUAUCACAUGCCUGUUUGUAAUUCUAGUGUUUGAUUCCAACAGUACUCCUUAUCUAGACCUACCACUGUGCAAGAAUGCAAGUCUAAGGAGGCAGAGUUGGGUUAAAUUCCGUCUACCCCCAUUUAUCAAGCUUUGGCAUAGACAACAUCCACCGUAUGAGCCAGUGGUGGUCCUCACAGUAUCUCUGUAUUGGAAAUGUCUGAUUGCCCAAACUCCUCUAGACUCUAGGUCCUGAAGGACUGGAACUGUCUGGCCUCUGUUUAAUCAUUUCAUCCUCUCCUGAAAUUACCUCAUUUCUAGGUGUUUUUCACACUCCAUUCUGUGUCACCCUUUUUGUUCUUUCUCUGAAUGUUAGUUAUUUUACCCAUAGGCAAAGUGCUUGACUUACUAGGCUGAACCACGAUAGGUGUAUGCUAACUACUGUCUUUUAAAUUUGGUAGGAGUGAAUGAAAAAAAGACUUUGAUAUUUUUUGAACUGCAUCCAAAUACAAAACAGAAAUCCAAAGUGUUCUUGGAAAAUAUAUCUUUUCAUGUCUUAAAACUUAUCUCCCAACAGAAUCUAUUUGGGGAGGCGUCAAUGUUCAACUCUGGCCUAGAUAUUUGCCUAAAAUUUGGAUCUUAAGCUUCAGUCUCAGCACUGGCCUUUGAGAGAUUCAUGCUGAAGAUUCAUGUGCAAUUUCAUACUUUUUCUGGUAUCCUUAUAUGCGUGGUGGUCAGAAUGAGGUGAUGACAUAGGUCACCAUCAUACCUAAACAGCAUGACCAGCUCAGUAAAAUGAGCAAGGUGUUUCAUUCUGAUUCAUUGUUCACAUAGGAAUAUUCAUUUUCAAAUACAAGUACACAUUCUAGAUGUACCUUGAAGUGAAAACUCUUCUUAUGUGCUUUGCAUAUGAUAAAACACUGGCAGUCAUUUGAAUAGAAAUGUACAUUUAGUAUUCCAAGGAUAAAAUGCUAUAAAUAUUGAGUGAUUUUGGAACUUGUUAAUGUAGUAUACCAAAUAUUGUUAAGAGCUUUUAAAUAAUUAAAAGAAGGGAACGUGAUUGGUGGAAAAUACUAGGACUACAAUAGAGGGUAUUAGCUGGAUAACUUAAGAAGAAUCUUAUAUUCUUCUUGGAUCAAACUAUAUUUAUAAAAGUUAAAUAAUGCUACAAGGCAUAAAAAGAAAGUUUCAAUUACACCAUACUUCUAAUCCUUAUGGGAUUAUUUGGUGUACUAGUAUUUGCAACCUUAAAUGGGAUAACUUUUAAGAACUGCACUUAAUUUUCACUUGGUUAAUUAUACUUAGGCCUUGAGUCUGUCAAGAAAAAGUUCUAUUGAAGAAUUGUUCCCAUUUUGUAAGAAUGAGUCAAAAGAAGAAUGUCAACUUUCCUAACUUUUUAUAGAAUGGAAAAGCAGAACAAUGUCAUGCAGUUGUCAUUGACAAUGGAACAAACAUGAAGGCUCUGAAUGAUGCAGGCAUCACGAGGAUUCAAUUUUUUCACACUCUCAGCUGUGUGUCUGAAAAGUCAUUACAGCCAUGUGUAAUAUAACAGAUUUGCUGCCUGUGAGCAGAAAGGUAGUAGACAUUUUCCCUAUUCUCUUUCAGCAGUAGAAAAGCUCCAUGACAUCCUAGAAAUGUUGGAACUCCUUGUCUGUACUUUUACAAAAUGUUCAAACAAGAUGCAAUAGUGAGUAUGACACAUUUAAAACAAAAAGAGCUUGAAAUAAAGAAAGCCUUCAUACUGAACUUUGCAAACAAG